AAGAACCUUCCCCAAAAUAUUGCCCCCAAAUCAUUUCUCCCCACCUAAAAUCUUCCCCAAAAAAUAUUCCUCCACCUAAAACCUUCCCCCCAAAAACAUUCAUCACAUAACACCUUUUCUCCAAAAAAAAACUCCCCACAUAACAAUCUACUCAUACACUCCAUAUAAACACUCACAACAAAUACAAAAGAAAAAAAAAUACACACAAAAAAAGCCAUCAGCCGUGAAAGAAAAAAAAAGAUUAACACCCAAAAAUAAUUUUGAAGAAGAGCCAGCAGGAAAACCAAAUACACGCAUCAACGGAGACCUCCGACAGUUCUGUUUCUCCCGGAACCAAACAACUUUUCUCCCCUCGACGCAGGUCUCCUUCUUCGAUCAUCAAAGAUCAGAGAAAACGACCCCAUCGACUAAUCCUCUAGCAGCCAUAAAAGGAGAGAACCAGUCGCACAACCACCCUCGAACUCCCCGGAGCGCGCACACACUCGCAAACGAACAGAUAUCAAAAGGAAGGCUAGGACCUGAAGGUUUUAUUUGUUUUUUUUUUUGAGUUUUCAGAACGUAUUCAUGUACAUAAUCCCUGUUUUAAAAGUUGAUUGGUUUGAGCUUAAGCAAAACGGAAAUAGCUCAUGUUUCCUCUUUGCGAUUCCGAGUCCUUGGUUUCAAUUCUGAGGUCGAUUGAGGUGAGCGUCGAGAUCGUUGACUGCUCGUGAGGUUUAAGUCCGUUGGUUCCGAAUCAAUUCUAUUGCGGUUUGUUCGUUUGCUUCUGGACGCACGAAUUCCGGCUUCGGAUUUGCUUGUAAUGGCUUCUGAACAAGGUUAAUCGAAAGUUUAAUUCAGCUAUUGUUCACGUCAAUUUGCUGCUGUUGUUCGUUGAAUUCUUGUUGAGUUCGAUCCGAUCCGGUUGUAGUCAUCGUUGAAGAGUCGAGUCCGUGUCGUUGAGGUUUCUGAUUUGAGAUUGAACAUCCGUCGUGUGAACUCGAGAUCUUGUGAAUCAGAAAGUGUGGCUGCUUGAGUUAGAUUUUUGGGCUCGAUUCGAAGUCACUGUCCGAGGUUCAAUCCGGGAAGAUUCGCGCCUGGUUCAACCUUAGCCGCUCGACGUCGAGGUCCGGUGCGUCGAGGUCGUACGACGAGGAAGAAGAUUGAUCUUCAGAUCUGCUCGGCCCAAGUAAUUCUCGUUUUACCAUUCCUACUAUGUUAAUAAUCUCCUCAUUGUCGAAUUGUUAUGUCACGUUAAUUAGCUUCUGUAUUGGUUCGCAAAAUGCAAUUUUCUUGAUCUGGUUUCCAUAUGUGCUUUAGGAAAACAUGAGUGUUGAAUGAUGAUUGGGAUAAUGAUGAUACUAAUGAUUAAAGGAUACAUGUGAGAAAAAUUAUGAAAAACGCAAUGCUGGUGGAUUGAACGUACUUAAGAAGCUGCAGUAAUAUAUAUUUUUUUCUUUCGUUGUUUGCGUAGUUGUUCUCCGCGGUUAAGAAAAAUUGAAUUAGAUGCAAAUAUGUCAAUUCAAGGUUUUAAUUGGUAUUUAGAAUUCGGGUUUUGAGUUAGGUAGCGGGUUUUAAAUUAAAGGGUUCGUCCUUUUGUUUGGACCCGGACUUGAACUUAAGGCCCGGAUUAUGAAUAUAAUUAAUUAGGAUCUUUCUUUCGUUAUUAGAGAUAAAAAUCAAAAAUAGAAAAUUGUUAAGAAUAAAAUUAUAUUUGGAGUGAAUGUCUAUCUUGUAGAGAGUUUUACUUUGAUGGUAAGUAAUUUUUCUUCCUAUAAAUAGAGGGGUCUUAUCCCAUUGUAAACCACCCCAAAAUUCAAUAAGAAUUUUCUCUCUUUCUCUGCAAUAUUGCUCUUGUUCUUUAUUGUUUUAUAACAAGAGUCGUAUUCUUUUAGAAAAAGAAAAAAAGGAAAAUUAAAAAAAAAAAAACUCUCUUUCUCUGCAAUAUUGCUCUUUUUCUUUUAUUGUUUAAUAACACGUUAUCAACAUGAAACUCUAACUAAUUGAGUAUAGGGUGGUUGCUUUAAUUAAUAGAUAUACUAUUAAAUAGUUGUCUCAUGUAGGAGAAAUUAAACCACACAUGGAAUAUAUAGGCUUAAUUCGGACAGUAGCUGAAUCUGCAAUUACAUGCUUGCUAAUUUUAUUAUGCUCGAGAUUACUUCUGUUACACAUAGUUCCAAUGCUUAAUGCAGAAUUACGGUUUGGAAUGUCAGUCUUAAAUUUAGGAGGCCGUUCAUGAAGAAUAUUACGCUUAUCUCCAUAAGAGGGGCUCACGCAAAUCUUCAAAACUAUG
rnacentral:lncRNA from 1 species